GACGAACGCUGGCGGCGUGCUUAACACAUGCAAGUCGAACGGAAAGGCCUGCUUUCCCUUGUGGAUUGCGGGUACUCGAGUGGCGAACGGGUGAGUAACACGUGAGUGAUCUGCCCCCAACUUGGGUAUAAGCCUGGGAAACUGGGUCUAAUUCCCGAUAGGACUGUAGGGUGGUGCCUGUGGUGGAAAACGAUUUUCUAGUGGUUGGGGAUGAGCUCGCGGCCUAUCAGCUUGUUGGUGGGGUAAUGGCCUACCAAGGCGGCGACGGGUAGCCGGCCUGCGAGGGUGGACGGCCACAUUGGGACUGAGAUACGGCCCAGACUCCUACGGGAGGCAGCAGUGGGGAAUAUUGCACAAUGGGCGGAAGCCUGAUGCAGCGACGCCGCGUGGGGGAUGACGGCCUUCGGGUUGUAAACUCCUUUCGACCGCGAGGAAGCCACCUGGUUGGAAGGGUGGUGACGGUAGUGGUAGAAGAAGCACCGGCUAACUACGUG
rnacentral:rRNA from 1 species